GUGCAGCAGAGGACCUGGAUGAAGACUGCUCAGCACCGUGGACAUCGUCAGGCACGUUUGACUGUGUGUGUGCAAACUUCAGCAGAGGCCGAUUCCCUGAAUAACAAUCGCUGAUACACACCAUGAGUCAUUUCCAUCAAGUCUAUUUAAUGCAGGAAAAGCGUCCAAGUCUGUUUCAGAGAGUGUGUGUGAAACACGGAGAAGCGGAUCAGGAUUCAAACACGGCUCCAAUCUUUCUCCAAAUUCAUCUCUGCUAAAAAUAAAACACUCAGAGCUGCGACGCAUCCUUCUCCCUCAGCAUCCAACAUCCAACAGCUCUGCAGCCAGAGACACAGAUCUGGGUAUUUACCAAACUACACACUUGUUUUAUUACAAUAUUUCACUUUCAGCUGAUCUGCAGACAUGAGAGGAUUAAACAGCUGACAGCUCACUGAGGGGUGGGGAGGGUGGGGGGCUACAGGUUUUAAUAAACAAGCAACACCUGCAUCUGAUCCGUGCGCUUCUGUGUCUAAAAAAGACCAUGUCACAGCAG